rnacentral:rRNA from 1 species
UUCUGAUGACGACCGGCGCACGGGUGCGUAACGCGUAUACAACCUACCUUUUAGCGGGGAAUAGCCCAGGGAAACUUGGAUUAAUGCCCCAUAGUAUAUAGACUUCUCCUGAAGUUUAUAUUAAACAUUUAUGGCUAUUAGAUGGGUAUGCGUCCUAUUAGUUAGUUGGUAAGGUAACGGCUUACCAAGGCAGCGAUAGGUAGGGGUCCUGAGAGGGAGAUCCCCCACACUGGUACUGAGACACGGACCAGACUCCUACGGGAGGCAGCAGUGAGGAAUAUUGGACAAUGGGCGAGAGCCUGAUCCAGCCAUGCCGCGUGCAGGAAGACUGCCCUAUGGGUUGUAAACUGCUUUUACAGAGGAAGAACCACCCCCACGUGUGGGGGUUUGACGGUACUCUGCGAAUAAGGAUCGGCUAACUCCGUGCCAGCAGCCGCGGUAAUACGGAGGAUCCAAGCGUUAUCCGGAAUCAUUGGGUUUAAAGGGUCCGUAGGCGGGCAGUUAAGUCAGUGGUGAAAGUCUUCCGCUCAACGGGAGAACUGCCAUUGAUACUGAUUGUCUUGAGUUAUUAUGAAGUGGUUAGAAUGAGUAGUGUAGCGGUGAAAUGCAUAGAUAUUACUCAGAAUACCGAUUGCGAAGGCAGAUCACUAAUAAUAUACUGACGCUGAUGGACGAAAGCGUAGGUAGCGAACAGGAUUAGAUACCCUGGUAGUCUACGCCGUAAACGAUGGUUACUAGCUGUUCGGCCCAAUUGAGGGCUGAG